rnacentral:lncRNA from 1 species
CCUUUUAAUUUCUGACCUUAAGUACCUUUCAUAUAUUGUGCCACAUCUUUGUUACCUAUUUCUCUUUAAUUUCUUAUUCUUUCUUACCUAUUUCUGACCCAAAAUUACAUUCCCUUUUGUUUCAAUUCUUGCUACACAAGGGGAGAGGAUUCUUACCUAUUAUGUGCCUCAAAACACAUUCCUAAAUCUGUCCUACAAUUUCUGUCGAAUUUCCCUUUCCUAUUCUCUUUAAUUCCUGCACCUUUCUUACCUAUUUUCCAUUGAUUUCUAAUUCCAAAUCUAAUAAAUUCGUAGCCCUUCCUUUCCCUAUAAAUAAGACCCCUUUCUGACCAUUCUAAGCAUUCCAUCCUUCAUCAUAGCCUACCUACAUCCAUCCACCACCACAAUUCACCACAAAUCAUCACCAAACACCCUUGUGUCGCAGCAAAGAAGAAAGAAGGAGACCCUUGGACGUGCUUGCCAUUCAAGACGUUGGAUUGUUGGAGCGUUUCUAGGUGUAAUCUUUCUUUUGUUUUCAAUGUUUCAAUUCAAUAAUCUUUGUUUUGUGAGUAUGAGGAACUAAACCCCUCUUAGUUAGGGGAUGAUUCGAAACCAUGUUCAUGCUUGCAACAUGAUUUGAUUACAUCCAGUUGUGUUUUAUAAGUUGUGAAUUCAAUUUACUUAUCCGUUCGUAUAAAAACUGAUUGUGUAUGUUGGUUGGGAGUGCACGCUUAAUUUUCAUGCAUGAAUUUGAUGCUAGAAUAUAAGGGAGUUUCACCUAAUCGUUACGAACUUAUAUUCACGAGUAGUGAAGGUUACUAGUCACAAUCGCUUUAAGUAAGUUCUUGGCAUAAGUUUCAUGCAAUUCAUAGUAACGAAUGCUUCGUCAAUGCUUAUGAUUUUCAUAGAACUUAAUGAUUCUUACUUGUAUCUCUAUUAUGCAAUUCAUGUAGGGAACUUGUGGGGAAUGCUUUGGGUUGUCAUAUGCAAUCAUCCAAUUCAAUAACUUUUGGAAAAUCUGAGGGUUAAUUAGUGCAAUUCACGGUUAAUCUGGGGCGUUGAGAAUUCAUAGCUUAUUGAAAAGCAACUGGAAAUCGUUUUGUAUGCAAGUGUGUCAUGUGUGGAGAAGAACCUCCUAACUAUCCUUUUAUCCAUAGUUUCAUCCAAAUUCGUUUUAAAACUCUGUUUUAGUUACAAUCUAUUUUCUUUGUUUUCAAAUUCGUCAAAACCAAAUCCCCCAUUAUUUUAAAGUGUUAGAUUAGUUAGAAAUCAAUUUAGUUUGUGUUUUUAAGUGUUUUGAUUCAAGUUAUAACCCAAUUUCGUCCAAGUUUGUGUUAGAGUUCAAAACUGCCCAGAAAGUGUUUUUCAGGCAGUUUUAAGUGUCUUUGUGCUGUUUUGAGUCUUUUGUUUUGUUUUAGUGUUUGAGAGUUUAGAUUUGCAUUCUUUGAGUCUAGUUUAGUGUUUCAAACUUUGUUUUACAUAUUUGAGUCAGUUUAGAGUGUUUAGCAAUCCCUCCUAAUCCCCGGUUUAAGAAUGAUCCCUACUUAUCCAUACUACAAUUGUCAACAAGAGGGUUAAUUUGUGUGUUUAGUUAUUUUACGCAUCAUAGGUCCGCGUUAUGACUUCCUAGCACAAAUAUUGGGACAUCACGAACCAUCGUCGCCUAUGACCCAAUAUCAAAUCACAUCUCAGAGUUUUAACCAAUAGAAUACAUAAUUUACAUAAAACACACCCCCCACGUAAUUCAAUUAGGAAGAUCUGCAUCACAGAUUUCCGAUUCGUUACUUCCAAGGAUCCACAUUAUAUGAACAAGUCCUAAGGUUUCAUCAUGAUCCAACGGUUGGAUCUCCGCCAAUUGUCAAAACCAACUGGCGGUCAACAUUUUAUUUUAGUAACUUACAAAUCCAAUUCGGGAAGAUCCGUUCGUCGGAUUCCCAAUCCGUAAGUUUCUAUGGUCCUCAAAUAUUACGUACUAUAAUGUAUUAAAGUUUGGUGACGAUCGAACGGACGAAUCAUCAUGAUUCAUAUAAAGGUCAAGUGAUGUAUCAUAAUGAACUAAGUUCAAACAUUCAAACCACCUCAUAUGGAUAUCAAUUAUGACAUCAGAACAUCUAAAUGACCUUAAAAAGACAUCAUUGGCCCACUGGCCAGGCCGUCGCCGCAAGCGUGAUAGGAGCAUAUUUAUGCGACUUAGUUAGCUUGUUCUUGUGCAUUUAUGUUGUUAUUUCUUAGUUAAUUUAGUAUUUCAAGCCAUUUUCGUGUGUUGGUAGGUCCAAAGGGCUAAAGUACCAAGAAAGUGCAUUUUGGAGCAGUUUUGGGCUUGGAAUAAAAAUCACAUGCAUGGAGCAAGAGGGAUGGACGAAAUAGAAGACCAAAAGAGGCUAGGAUUAUGCUAAAGUUAUGAAGAAAUUAAUUCAAGAAAAGGAAGUUAAAGAUGCAAGCAAGAGAAUGUUAGCCAAAGUUACCUUAUUUUGUCCUAAACUUUCAUAAUCUUUCACUACUUAAUUUCCAGUUGGAAAGAGGAUCUUUAAUUAAAUUAGGAGACUUAAAUUCAGACCCAAUUACAUUCCUAAAACCCCUUGCCGCACCUAUUUCCCUUUUCCCUUUCCCUUACCGUGCAAGGCAAACACAUUCCCCUUUCUUUUUAGGAUGCCGCACCUCACUUGCCUUUUCCUCUUGGGAUUCUGAUUUGUUUCCCUUUUCUUGGAGGAUUUGGAGUCUUAAACCUUUCCCAAAUUAAUUCCUAGCUGUGUCCUUUCCUUCCCCUAUAAAUAAAGCCCUUUGCUGCACCAUUCAGGACAUCCAUCAACACAUUCCAUCAUCCACCCUUCACCCUAACUCACCUAUAUCCAUCCACCACCAUAAUUUACCACUCAUCCAUCCUUCCAUACCUUGUGCCGCAACAAAGAGAAGAAGGAGGACCCUUGGAGUGCUUGCUAUUCAAGUUUGGAUUGCUGGAUCAUUCUUAGGUGUAAUCUAUCUUUUGAUUUCAAUGUUUAAGUUUGUUUAUCUUUGUUAUGUGAGCAUGAGGAGCUAAACCCCUUAUAUUUAGGGGGAAUUUCUAAACCAUGAUUAUAUUUGCAGUAUGAAUUGACUAAUUCCAGUUGUGAUUUCAUAAAGUGUGAAUGCAAUUUGCUUAAUUGUUUUAUUCAAAACUUAUUCUUGUAUGUUGAUUAAGGAGCCUACUUAGUUUGCAUGCUUGAAUCUGAUGCUAGGAUAUAAGGGAGUUUCACAUAAUCGUUACAAACUUAUAUUCACAAGUAGUGAAGGUCGCUGGUUGAUGCGAAAAUUAACUUAACACACAAAUUAAACCCUCUUUUGACAAUUGUAGUAUAUGUAUAAGUAGGGAUCGUUCUAGACCGGGGAUUAGGAGGGAUUGCUAAAACACUUAAAAUUGACUUGAAAACGUAAAAAUAAGUUUGGAACACUAAACUAGACUCAAAGAAUGCAAAACUAGACUCUAAUAUACUAAAACAACUUAAAUGACUCAAACAGCACAAAACAAGCUAAUAGACUCAAAACAGACACUAAGAGUGAAUUUGGACGAAAAUUAGUUUUAACUUGACUUAAAACACUUCAAAACACAAACUACAAUAGUUUCUAACUAAUAUGACUCAACAAAGUAAAGGGGGAAUUGGUUUUGACGAAAUUGAAAGUAGAACAAGUAAAUUAAAGACUUAGAUAAAUGUGCACGACAUUAGGGAAAAAUAUGGAUGAUUGGUUAGCUAGAGUUCAUUCUCAACACAUGACACACUUGAAUACAAAUUGAUGUUCAGUUGUUCUUUCGAUAAACCAUAAACCUCAAUGCCCUAGAUUAACUGUAAAUUGCACUAAUUAACCCUCAGAUUUUCCUAGUUUCAUUGAAUUGGAUGAAUGCAUUGAUGCGAAAAUUAUCUUAACACACAAUUUUAACAUUCUUUUGACAACUGUAAUAUAAGUAUAAGUAGGGAUCCUUUUGGACCGGGGAUUAGGAGGCCUUGCUAAUAACCUCUAAACUGACUCAAAAACAUAAAACUAAACUUUAAAAUACUUAACAAGACUCACAAGACUCAAAGAAAACUUAAAAUACUCAAAACAGCUUAAAACAACUAAAGAAACUUAAACUAGACACUAGGAAUGACUUUGGACGAAAAUUGACUUUUACUUGAAUCAAAACAUUUAAAAACACAAAUUAAAACAGAUUCUAACUAAUUAGACACACUAAAGUAAAGGGGGAUUGAGUUUUGGACGAAGUUGAAACAAAUAAACAAGUAUUAAAAACUAGACAGAUUGUAAAACAAAUUUGAGAAAUAAGAUGAUGGAUGG